rnacentral:rRNA from 1 species
UACGGGGGGGGCAAGCGUUGUUCGGAAUUACUGGGCGUAAAGGGCGGGUAGGCGGCCACCGCAAGUCAGUUGUGAAAUCUCCGGGCUUAACCCGGAAAGGUCAACUGAUACUGCGGGGCUAGAGUGCAGAAGGGGCAACUGGAAUUCUCGGUGUAGCGGUGAAAUGCGUAGAUAUCGAGAGGAACACCUGCGGCGAAGGCGGGUUGCUGGGCUGACACUGACGCUGAGGCGCGAAAGCUAGGGGAGCGAACGGG